rnacentral:rRNA from 1 species
CCCUUAGAUGUUCUGGGCUGCACACGUGCUACACUGGCAGGUUCAGCGAGCUUCAUGCCCUGAUCUGAAAGGAAUGGGAAAUCUUUUCAAAACCUGCCGUGCUUGGGAUAGAUGUUUGCAAUUAUUCAUCUUCAACGAGGAUUGCCUUGUAAGCGCACGUCAUCAGCGUGCAUUGAAUACGACCCUGUAUUCUGUACACACCGCCCGUCGCUCCUACCGAUUGAAUGAUCCGAUGAAUAUCAUGGAUUGAGGAUGCAAGUAGGUUCGCCUAUCUUCAUCUUCGAGAAGUGAAGUAAAUCUUAUCAUUUAGAGGAAGGGGAAGUCGUAACA